CAGCUGGUGGAGAAGGCGGUGGAGCAAGGGUAUGAUGUUAGCAAGCUUCACAAGACAGCUCAGAGUGACACACCACCCGAGUCCGACUCUGCUCCUGACGACACCAAGGGCAUUUGGUGGCUCAAAUCUAUCUUCGGCAAAUAGUUACCUGACACAUUAAAAGACUUGUUUCACCUCCUUGUACUUGCUCUGUCUGUGUAAUAAGUAGUUUGAUUUUUGGUCAAACUUUCUACAUCAAAUACAAUUAGUGUGACAGACCUCUUUUCAGCAUAAAUAAAAACUAGAUUGGAAAAAAAAUCAGGCAAUGUUACUGGUAGGAUGAAAUAAAUAUGCUUAGUAACAAACUAACAAUAGUAUUUCAUUCUUAAGCAUAUGUUACAUAACCUUUCUGAAGAAAAAGGGGAUAAAAUACAUUCUAUAAUCUUACGUUUCGUUCAGACAUGUCUUUAUCCUUCUGACUUUAAUUUUUUAAGAUUACGUUUUGUUGCAGGAUGAGAGUAACGGAAUGGUGUCCAGUGGCUAUUAGAUUUGGUCUUGAUUCUUUCUAGUCCAUGGCCCUCUCUACCGGUUGCAUCUAUUUUUCUUCAGUUAAAUACCAUUUUUGUCACGUUCUCGCCCAUUGUAUUUUGUAUUCUACCCCACCGAACAACGAAAAGAAAAAGAGACAUUUGUGUUUAACUUUCACAUUGUAACUCAUAGAUGCCGCUAGAACCAUCUGCCCUACACGCUUCCCACGUGUCAACCUCUCCUCCCACGGAAAUCUCCUUCGUUAAAUAGAACCCAUCUUUCUUAUCCCAUUACCUCAGACGAAAAUAAUAUCUUGAAUCUUAGAGAAAGAUGACGACCGAGAAGAAAGAGAUGGAAGUGGUGAAAGGUCUAGACUUGGAGAGGUACAUGGGCCGUUGGUACGAGAUUGCUUCUUUCCCAUCCAGGUUCCAACCCAAGAACGGUGCAGACACUCGCGCCACCUACACCCUUAACCCCGACGGGACCGUGAAAGUCUUGAACGAGACGUGGGACGGAGGCAAGAGAGGUUUCAUCCAAGGCUCAGCUUUCAAAACCGAUCCUAAGAGCGACGAGGCCAAGUUCAAAGUCAGGUUCUACGUCCCCCCUUUCCUUCCAAUCAUUCCCGUUACCGGCGACUACUGGGUGCUGUAUAUCGAUCCUGAGUACCAGCAUGCCGUCAUUGGCCAGCCUUCAAGGAGUUAUCUCUGGGUAGGUUUCUUUGUUUUAUGAUGAAUAAUAAAAAAAAAAAGCUAACAAGGAUUGAUAUUGACUUAUAUGUGGGCUGUGUAGAUCCUGAGCAGGACGGCGCACGUGGAGGAAGAGACAUACAAGCAGCUGGUGGAGAAGGCGGUGGAGCAAGGGUAUGAUGUUAGCAAGCUUCGCAAGACAGCUCAGAGUGACACACCACCCGAGUCCGACUCUGCUCCUGACGACACCAAGGGCAUUUGGUGGCUCAAAUCUAUCUUCGGCAAAUAGUUACCUGACACAUUAAAAGACUUGUUUCACCUCCUUGUACUUGCUCUGUCUGUGUAAUAAUAUACUACCCCUUUUGUUUACUCCAGUAAUGAACGUUCUACUUUUGUUGGUUUUAAACAUCUAAAUCUAUUUGCAUUGAGUAACGGAGUCCAGA
rnacentral:lncRNA from 1 species